ensembl:scaRNA small Cajal body-specific RNA 16
GUGGGCUGGGGAAGGGCUGCUGGGUGGUACCAGCCAGCCUCACCUGUGCCCGAGAGCAGCUCCCAGGUGGGCUCCAUGCUGGGCCUCACUGUGCAGUAACAGGUGUGAACAUUCAUGAAGCAUUUUGAUGGUCAUGUAUGAUACUGCAUACAACA